rnacentral:rRNA from 1 species
ACAUAACUGAUGCCUCCGCGUAUCGACUUUGUGCGCAUUUUAGCUAUUAUGUGUUCUUUUUAAUUAAAAUGAUUCUUUUUAAGAUUCAUCUAUUAAAAAUUUGCUUCGGCAUAAUUUUUUUUGAUGAUCUUGUUACUUUGAGUAAAUUAGAGUGUUCAAAGCAAACAGAUAUAGCAUUUGUGCGUUUGAAUACUACAGCAUGGAAUAACAAAAUUGAACAAGUCAGAAUUUUUUUGUUCUUUUUUCUUAUUUUGGCUUAGUUACGAUUAAUAGGAGUAGCUUGGGGGCAUUUGUAUUCAGAUGUCAGAGGUGAAAUUCUUAGAUUUUCUGGAGACAAACAACUGCGAAAGCAUUUGCCUAAAAUACUUCCAUUAAUCAAGAACGAAAGUUAAGGGAGUGAAGACGAUCAGAUACCGUCGUAAUCUUAACCAUAAACUAUGCCGACUAGGCUUUGGAUGAAAGAUUUUAAAAUAAGAGUUUUUCUUUUCUCUCCGGAGAUUAGAACUCUUAGAUUGCUUCCUUCAGUGCCUUAUGAGAAAUCAAAGUCUUUGGGUUCUGGGGCGAGUAUUCGCGCAAGCGAGAAAGUUAAAAGAAUUGACGGAAGGGCACCACCAGGCGUGGAGCUUGCGGCUUAAUUUGACUCAACACGGGAAAACUCACUAGUUUAAGACAAGAGUAGGAUUGACAGAUUAAUAGCUCUUUCUUGAUUUCUUGGAUGGUGAUGCAUGGCCGUUUUUAGUUCGUGAAUAUGAUUUGUCUGGUUAAUUCCGAUAACGAACGAGAUCUUAACCUGCUAAUUAGCGGCAAAUACGAUAUAUUCUUAUGUAGAAUUGAAUAUAGUGGAUUUGUUGGAUUUUGAAGAAAAUAUUGGAAUUACGUUUAAAUGUGAUUCCUUUCCCUUUCCUACUUAAUUUACAUUUCCAUCUAUUUCUUUUUUGCGUAUGAAUGUAUUUGCUUGAUUGUAAGGCUUCUUAGAGGAACGAUGUGUG